rnacentral:rRNA from 1 species
ACGGGAGGCAGCAGUGGGGGAUAUUGCACAAUGGGGGAAACCCUGAUGCAGCAAUGCCGCGUGAGGGAAGAAGGUCUUCGGAUUGUAAACCUAAGUAGUCAGGGAUGAAGAAAGUGACAUUACCUGAAGAGUAAGCUCCGGCUAACUACGUGCCAGCAGCCGCGGUAAUACGUAGGGAGCGAGCGUUGGCCGGAUUUACUGGGUGUAAAGGGUGCGUAGGCGGGCUUGCAAGUCAGGCGUGAAAUACCGAGGCUUAACUCCGGGGCUGCGCUUGAAACUGUAAGUCUUGAGUGAAGUAGAGGCAGGCGGAAUUCCCAGUGUAGCGGUGAAAUGCGUAGAUAUUGGGAGGAACACCAGUGGCGAAGGCGGCCCGCUGGGCUUUAACUGACGCUGAGGCACGAAAGUAUGGGGAGCAAACAGGAUUAGAUACCCUGGUA